GGGUUAUGACCUAGCUGGGUUAUGACCGGGGAUGUGACCUUAGAAAUUCCUCCCCUGGACUUUCUAUUGCCUUUCUAGCAAUCAGCUUAUGGAAACACUU
rnacentral:snoRNA from 1 species